rnacentral:rRNA from 1 species
UGCCAGCAGCCGCGGUAAUACGGAGGGGGUUAGCGUUGUUCGGAAUUACUGGGCGUAAAGCGCGCGUAGGCGGACUAGUCAGUCAGAGGUGAAAUCCCGGGGCUCAACCCCGGAACUGCCUUGUAAACUCCUGGUCUUGAGUUCGAGAGAGGUGAGUGGAAUUCCGAGUGUAGAGGUGAAAUUCGUAGAUAUUCGGAGGAACACCAGUGGCGAAGGCGGCUCACUGGCUCGAUACUGACGCUGAGGUACGAAAGUGUGGGGAGCAAACAGGAUUAGAUA